rnacentral:rRNA from 1 species
AUUGAACGCUGGCGGCAGGCCUAACACAUGCAAGUCGAACGAGUGGCGGACGGGUGAGUAAUGUCUGGGAAACUGCCUGGUGGAAGGGGCUAACUCCUGAAAACGGUAGCUCAUACCGCAUACCAUCAGAUGUGCCCAGAUGGGAUUAGCUGGUUGGUGGGGUAACGGAUCACCAAGUCGACGAUCCCUAGCUGGUCUGAGAGGAUGACCGGCCACACCGGAACUGAGAGACGGUCAAUACGCCUACGGGAGGCAGCAGUGGGGAAUAUGGCACAAUGGGCGCAAGCCUGAUGCAGCCAUGCCACGUGUAUGAAGAAGGCCUUCGGGUUGUAAAGUACUUUCAGCGGGGAGGCGUUACCCGCAGAAGAAGCACCGGCUAACUCCGUGCCAGCAGCCGCGAUAAUAC